rnacentral:rRNA from 1 species
UAGGGAAUCUUCGGCAAUGGGGGGAACCCUGACCGAGCAACGCCGCGUGAGUGAAGAAGGUUUUCGGAUCGUAAAGCUCUUUUGUUAAGGAAGAACGAGUGUGAGAAUGGAAAGUUCAUACUGUGACGGUACUUAACCAGAAAGGGACGGCUAACUACGUGCCAGCAGCCGCGGUAAUACGUAGGUCCCGAGCGUUGUCCGGAUUUAUUGGGCGUAAAGCGAGCGCAGGCGGUUAGAUAAGUCUGAAGUUAAAGGCAGUGGCUCAACCAUUGUAGGCUUUGGAAACUGUUUAACUUGAGUGCAGAAGGGGAGAGUGGAAUUCCAUGUGUAGCGGUGAAAUGCGUAGAUAUAUGGAGGAACACCGGUGGCGAAGGCGGCUCUCUGGUCUGUAACUGACGCUGAGGCUCGAAAGCGUGGGGAGCGAACAGG